UAUUUAUUUAUUUAUUAAAUUUAUUAAUUUUUAUAUAUUUAUAAUAAGAAAAUUAAUUUUAAUUAUUAAAUUAGAAAAAAUUAUUUUUAAUUAUAGUUUAUUAGUAUUGUGAAAGAAAAUUAUUUAAAUUUUAAAAAGAAAAAUUAAUUUUUUGUACCUUGUGUAUCAGGGUUUAUUAAAAUGUAAAAUUAUAUUAUUUUAUCUCGAAUUUAAAAGAGCUAAAAAUUUAUUUUUUUAUUGUUGAAUAAAUAUUAAUAAUAAGUUUUUAGUAAUGAAACGUUAUUCGUUUUUAAAUAUAUCUAGUUUUUUAAGAAAAAAAUUUAAUUUAUUUAUUAUUAAUAAAUUUUUAAUUUUUUAAUAUUUUAUUAAUAAUAACUAAUAUUUAAAGGGAUGAGCUUUUAAAUAAAUAUUUAUAAAAAAAUUUAUUUUAAUAAAAUUAUAGGAUUAGAAUUUUUCAUUAUUAAAAAAAUGUUAUAAUUAAUUUAUUUUUUUUAUUAUUUAUAUAAUUAUUUUAGAUUUUUUAUUAAAAUAUUAUUUUUAAUUAAUUAAAUUAAGAAAUAAUGAUAAAAUUAGUAUAUCAAUAAUUUAUUUAAUAUUUUUAUAUUUUUGGUUAAAUAAAGGAAUUCGGCAAAAUAUUUUUCACCUGUUUAUUAAAAACAUGUCUUAUUGUUAAUAAUUUUAAGUUUAACCUGCCCACUGAUUUUUUAAAUGGCCGCGGUAUUUUGACCGUGCAAAGGUAGCAUAAUAAUUAGUUUUUUAAUUAAAAGCUGGAAUGAAGGGUUGGAUGAAAAAAUAGCUGUCUUCUAUUUAAAUUUUAGAAUUUUAUUUUUAAGUUAAAAAGCUUAAAUAUUUUUAAAAGACGAGAAGACCCUAUAGAGUUUUAUAAAUUUAUUUAUAUUAAAUUUUUAGUAUUUUUAACUUAAUUAAUUAAAUUUAUUUAAUUGGGGUGAUUAAAAAAUUUAAUAAACUUUUUUUAUUAUUUUACAUUUAUAUAUGAAUAUUUGAUCCAUAGAUAAUGAUUAUAAGAUAAAAUUACCUUAGGGAUAACAGCGUAAUUUUUUUAGAGAGUUCUAAUCGAUAAAAAAGAUUGCGACCUCGAUGUUGGAUUAAAAUUAAUUUUUGGUGUAGAAGCUAGAAAUAUUAGGUCUGUUCGACCUUUAAAAUUUUACAUGAUCUGAGUUUAAACCGGUGUGAGCCAGGUUGGUUUCUAUCUUUAAAAUAAAAUAAUAUUUUAGUACGAAAGGACCAAAUAUUAAAAUUAUAUUUUUAAUAUUAGAAUAAUAUUAAUU
rnacentral:rRNA from 1 species